CCCUGAGAUCAAGACCUGAGUUGAGACCAAGAGUUGGACACUUCACCGACUGACCCACCCAGAAGCCAGACUCCCGGAGUCCCGAUUCCAGGACUCUCCAUCAGCCCGGCCUCCAGUCCCUGGCGUGGUCCCCACGGUGUGUGCGUCCAGCAAUGAGGAGCUCACACCGGUGGUGCCUUCGAGGAAGUGCCCAGCUGCGGCUCCGGCUCCAGCGGACGCUGCCUGGGGCUCCUGGUCCGGGGGGGCCCUCAGUGGACACAGCGUGGGGGUCUGGCCCCUCUUGCCAUCUGGGAGCCAUCACAGCCCAGAGAGGACAGAAGACCUGCCUGACGCCCUCCAGCGAGAACCCGUGCCCUGCAGAAUGAAUGAGAGAGUGCAGGAACGAAUGGUGGUCCCACUGGAGCAACGUGGACUCUGCGUCCUCUGCGCAGGACAGCGUGGCAGAGGGCAAGUGGGAGAAACUGAGGCACAGAGAGAUCAUGUGACUCCCCGGAGGUCACCCAGCUAACACUAAGCAGAGCCAAGAUGUGAAUGCCUUGUCGUGUUCUCCCAGGGGCGAAUAAACACGUGGAGUCGCCUUGAGCAAGCCUGUUUCCCCACACUAACCGGCCAGAGAUGAACUGAGGGCAGGAGGGGAGGACGCAGAGAUGCAGAGGGAAGGCCGUGAGCUUGGGUAGGCCAGUGGUGGCCCGCAGCGCCCAGAGGCUGGGAAAGGAGCGUCCAGAGGGAACCCCCUGCCCACACCUUGGUCUCAGACGUCUGGCCUCCAGAUCUGGAAGAUGCUCCUCCAGGGUGGACAUCACCCUGUGGCCGGCCCAGCCCUCACCCAUCCACCCCAGAUAGGCCCUCCCUAAUGUGACCUCCCUCGGAGAUCGGAUCCGUUGUCCACAUGGUUCUAGCUCAUGGAUAUGCCGCGUGAAUGCCCCAUGACGGGGAGGAAAGGCCGGGCCUGGAGGUCAGCUCCUGAAAGUGGCAGCCGGCUGCCCCCUCUCCCUGCCCCACCUCUGCUCUCUCAUCGGUGGGGCCUGACCUGCGGCUCCCUCUGCAGAGGAUGGCCUGGCAAUCUGAGCUGGGAGCUGGGGAGCAGUUCGCCAAAGGGACUAGAAGGGACUGAAGAAAGCCUGCAGAGAGUUGUGUCUCCUAGAUCUGACAAUCCAGACAAAGCCAGUCCCAGAGUUCCCAGGAGCCUGUGGAGAAGAAGCUUCCAGAACCUGGUAGGACCAGCUGCAUCCACGGGAGGCCCCAGGCUGAGCCCCGGCAGGGAAAGCAGACUUGACCUCAAGUGGGGGCACCAUACUGCCUACGAGCCUGAUGGGGAGGCAGAGUAGAGCCCCACGGGGCCUCGUGGUCAUGCGGGGCCCCCUUUCCUUGGCCACCUCUCUGUAUACCUUCAACGGGCAGCUCUGAAGCGUCCAGUCCCCUGCUGCCCAGGAGCCCCACGGACCCAUGUCCCUGCGCAAGAGGGUCAGGCUGCCUGCUUGGCUGAAAAAAGCAAGUGGACGGUACUGUUAUCCUCAUGCCGUGGGAGGAAAACUGAGGUUCAGAGCAGGAACAUGGCAGGUCCGGGGUCUUGGAGCUGCAAGGGGGCCCCUCUGGGUUGCAAGGCAAGCAGUCUGGCUCCAGAGGGGUCCCCAGUCCCUGGGCUGUGCUCAGGCCUGCCUGCAGCCUCCACUCCCAGCCCCCUUCCCCAGGACCCUAAGGCCCCAAAGGGCCUCCUGGCCACCUGGUCAGCCCUCCCCAUGCCCUCUCGGGCUCCCCAUUUCCUGUCCUGAGCCCAGCACCUCCCCUUCCUCCACGGAUGCCUUGGCUGUUUGGCUCAGUGGGUUCCCGGUGGGAGCCUUUGGGCCUAGGGCAAGGGCAGGGGAGGAGAGCGCCUCAGGCUGGGGAAGGGGGCGGGGGUAGCUCGCCGGCCACCCCCUUACAGUUUUUAGACCUCAAGGAGUCACCACGAAAUUCCAUUCUCCUGACAGCAAAGAAACUGAAUCACUCUUGCCAAAGCCCACGGCCCUCACAAGAACGCUAGAAGGCUUUGUCCUGCUGUUCCCAGACAGGCAGCCGCAGCCAGGGUGGGGGGGGCCCACUCCCCGAGCCUGGCUGCAGACAGGCGCAGGAAAGCCCCCGCCAGGCUGGACCUGUCCCUCUCUGUGCAGUUGCUCCCUCUCCUUGCUCCCUGCGUCCACUGAACUUCACCUUGCUUUCUGUAUAACGGGCUCGCUGCUCGCAGGGGUCCCGUGUGUCAGAGGGUCCUGUAGCAGGACACAAGUCUGAGAAAGCAGGGAGUGCCAUCCCCUCGGCAGGGCCUUGUCGGGUGGGAGCGCGGGGCACCACGGUGCUGUGCUGCUCCCCCUCGAACCCUUAGAGAACACUCAGCACCUAGAGGGUACCAAGGAUGGAUGCCACUGACCUGAAUCCCAGGUAUGGGCACAGCUCAUGCAAAGAUUUGGGGGCUCAGUGGUGCUUGUGCUGUUGGGGAAUGGGGAGGAUGGCAGGGUUCAGCGAGAAAUGGGGCUGGGAAUAAGUAGACACCAGGCCAGGAUUUGAGUUCAGAGGCAUUGGGGAGCCCUUGAAGAUUCUGUGGGGCACCUGGUUGUGCUUGUGCGUGUUGGCGGGGGGGGGGUAUGAUUAGCGGUCUGGUUCCUGAGGGCAGAACAGAUGGAGCAGGGGGACGGGGGACAGGGAGACCAGGGUGGAGACUGCCCAAGAGGUCCAGAGAAGAGAUGAAGGUGGUGGGGGGGAACUCCUGCUCAAAAUAGCCCCGAUUUGGGAUGGAUGGGAGUUGGCGGUGGGGCCAGGGACCCAGGGACUUCAGACAUGAGGCUGGGCUGGCGCUCGGGGGACUGUUUUGGGGCAGCCUUGCCCACCCCCACCUCUCCAGCUGCCAGGAGGCUCCAAGACUGGGCUCUGGCUGGUGGGGGAGGGGUUUAUGGCAGGAGGUGACACCACAGGAGACUUGUCACUUGGGCACGGCCAGCGCCAUCUGCUCAGGCAUCUGCCUGCCUGAGGUGGCGCCUGCUAAUUACCUGGGCUGGGGGGGGGCGCAGGAAGAGGCCUGGGAACCACUAGCCCCCAUCACACCCCGUGUGACAGAGGGGUUGGGGUACAGCCCCAGGACCCUAAGAGCAAAUGGGCCACAGCCCCGCCCCCUCCGCGGUGGGCGGGACAGACAUUUCCCCAGUAAAUCCUCACAGAGCACCUACUACGUGCCAGCCCCGUUCUGCCCUUGACAUUCGGGCGCAGGAAGGGGGACCCAUUGCAGGCAGAGGCCUAAGCGCUGUGCGGAUAACUGGCCAGUGGGCAGAGUGAGCGCUAAAUGGGACGCGGGGCCCUGGUGGUCGCAGAGGGCCUCCGAGGAGGGGAUGUCAGAACCGAGAGGGAGGGGAAGGAGGCGCAGCCAAGCGGAGAGCCGCCCCCAGCUGCGCUUCCGGAAGACGCCAAGGGCAGGGAGCUCGGACCCUGGUCCCGCGCCAGGGGGCCCCCUGGCCACUUCCGGGCCCCUCGCCCCUCACCCUCAGCGCGGGCUGCUGGCGCGCAUUCCUGCCGCCCCUGCUCGUGCGGUGGGCCGGCCCGGCCCGUGGGAAGGCCUGGGGGUGGGGGCCGCCGUGUGCCGGGGAGGCGGGGCGGGGGCACAGCUGGGCCGCAUCUGGCCUGAGCAUAGAGGAACCAAAUGGGACAGAAAGCAGCCUUUCAUCCCGCGAGGGGCGGGCGACCUCAGUUUCUUCUCGCCACGGGGCGCCCGGAGGAUUUCGGGGACCAGCUCGCCACCCCCGCCGCGGGGCUGGGAUUCGAGGAAAUUUGCUCGGGGCGGGGGGUGGGAAGGAGAGCGCUGACGGUGGAAUUUAAUACAGGUGCUUUCUCGGUGGAAACACGUGUCCCUGCCCGUAGCUCGGGGGGCUCAACUCCUCAGUAUUAAUCAGCGCAGCCUUAGACCGAGCGCUCAGGUGCACCUAGGCGCCGCCCCCAUUCUUGGCACGCACCACCCCAAGGGGAGGACGCCGGGCUCGGGGAGGGGCGCGCACAGCGAGGAAGGGGGGACGUCUCCUGCGGGACUGCGGAGCCCGAAGCCCCUGGGCCAGAACCCCGGUCACCGCGCUGAGGGCGCGCCCUUCCGCGUGCCGGA